rnacentral:rRNA from 1 species
ACGCUCGACACCUACGGGAGCAGCAGUGAGGAAUAUUGGUCAAUGGGCGCUAGCCUGAACCAGCCAAGUAGCGUGAAGGAUGAAGGCUCUAUGGGUCGUAAACUUCUUUUAUAUAAGAAUAAAGUGCAGUAUGUAUACUGUUUUGUAUGUAUUAUAUGAAUAAGGAUCGGCUAACUCCGUACCAGCAGCCGCGGUAAUCUGAGCGGGCGUGGCGAAGGCG